rnacentral:lncRNA from 1 species
UUAUGAUAUGAUAUAUAUUGAAAGCAGAAAGUGUUAAUAAUCAGAAUAGACAAGUAGAACAAUCAAGUACAUUCCAACAACAAGGCCACUCCCAAAACAGACAUCUAAAUAUAUGCCAGUGUCAUCAUUAACUAGAGGAAUACUAGCUAUAAAUUUAACAAAGUUUCAAGAGCAUAUAAGAGGAAUGCUACCAUCUUCUAACAUUUACAAAAUGACAAGGAUCCUUAUCCGCCAGAUCAAAGAGCUGGGAUCUAUGAUUUGCCCUUAUACAGUGAAGACCUUAAUAAGCAGGAAGAGUACAUACAAGAAACCUACAAAAUAAAAUUCCAAAACACAAAGCCAACAUUAAAAACGGAAAUCUAAGAACAGUGUUAGCAGAAAGGGUCCUAUAAGCAUAAUAUACAAAUCAAAUGCGAAGACACAAUGAUCAUAAAAUCUUGUAAUAAUUUAAAAGAAAGCUUAUUGCUGGAAUCAUUAGAAAUAAUACAAAGA